rnacentral:rRNA from 1 species
GGGGAAUAUUGCUACAAUGGGGGAAACCCUGAUGCAGCCAUGCCGGCGUGUGUGAAGAAGGCCUUCGGGUUGUAAAGCACUUUCAGUAGGGAGGUAAGGUAGUGUAGUUAACACCUGUCACUUAUUUGACGUUACCUACAGAAGAAGCACCGGCUAAACUCCGUGCCAGCAGCCGCGGUAAUACGGAGGGUGCGAGCGUUAAUCGGAAUUACUGGGCGUAAAGCGCAUGCAGGCGGCCUGUUAAGUCAGAUGUGAAAGCCCGGGGCUUAACCUCGGAAUUGCAUUUGAAACUGGCAGGCUAGAGUCUUGUAGAGGGGGUAGAAUUUCAGGUGUAGCGGUGAAAUGCGUAGAGAUCUGAAGGAAUACCAGUGGCGAAGGCGGCCCCCUGGACAAAGACUGACGCUCAGAUGCGAAAGCGUGGGGAGCAAACAGGAUUAGAUACCCUGGUAG